GGGGAAUAUUGGACAAUGGGGGGAACCCUGAUCCAGCCAUGCCGCGUGUGUGAAGAAGGCCUUAUGGUUGUAAAGCACUUUAAGCGAGGAGGAGGCUCUUUUGUUUAUUCCCCAAGUUGAGUGGAGGUAACUCGCAGAUUAGGACCUGGUUAACUCGUUGCCAGCAGCCGCGGUAAUACAGAGGGUGCGAGCGUUAAUCGGAUUUACUGGGCGUAAAGCGUGCGUAGGCGGCUUUUUAAGUCGGAUGUGAAAUCCCCGAGCUUAACUUGGGAAUUGCAUUCGAUACUGGGAAGCUAGAGUAUGGGAGAGGAUGGUAGAAUUCCAGGUGUAGCGGUGAAAUGCGUAGAGAUCUGGAGGAAUACCGAUGGCGAAGGCAGCCAUCUGGCCUAAUACUGACGCUGAGGUACGAAAGCAUGGGGAGCAAACA
rnacentral:rRNA from 1 species